UACGGAGGGUGCAAGCGUUGUCCGGAAUCACUGGGCGUAAAGGGCGCGUAGGCGGCUCGGUAAGUAGGGGGUGAAAUCCUGCGGCUUAACCGCAGGGCUGCCUUCUAAACUGUCGAGCUCGAGCACGGUAGAGGCAGAUGGAAUUCCCGGUGUAGCGGUGGAAUGCGUAGAGAUCGGGAAGAACAUCAGUGGCGAAGGCGGUCUGCUGGGCCGUUGCUGACGCUGAGGCGCGACAGCGUGGGGAGCAAUCCGG
rnacentral:rRNA from 1 species